GACGAACGCUGGCGGCGUGCUUAACACAUGCAAGUCGAACGGAAAGGCCCUGCUUUUGUGGGGUGCUCGAUUGGCGAACGGGUGAGUAACACGUGAGUAACCUGCCCUUGACUUUGGGAUAACUUCAGGAAACUGGGGCUAAUACCGGAUAGGAGCUCCUGCUGCAUGGGGGGGGUUGGAAAGUUUCGGCGGUUGGGGAUGGUCUCGCGGCUUAUCAGCUUGUUGGGGGGGUAGUGGCUUACCAAGGCUUUGACGGGUAGCCGGCCUGAGAGGGUGACCGGCCACAUUGGGACUGCGAUACGGACCAGAAUCCUACGGGAGGCAGCAGUGGGGAAUAUUGCACAAUGGGCGGAAGCCUGAUGCAGCAACGCCGCGUGCGGGAUGACGGCCUUCGGGUUGUAAACCGCUUUCGCAUGUGCCGAAGCGUGCGUGACGGUAAUGGGUAAAGAAGCCCCGGCUAACUACGUG
rnacentral:rRNA from 1 species